rnacentral:rRNA from 1 species
AUUGAACGCUGGCGGCAUGCCUUACACAUGCAAGUCGAACGGUAACGGGCCUUCGGGCGCCGACGAGUGGCGAACGGGUGAGUAAUGCAUCGGAACGUGCCCAGUAGUGGGGGAUAGCCCGGCGAAAGCCGGAUUAAUACCGCAUGAGACCUGAGGGUGAAAGCGGGGGAUCGCAAGACCUCGCGCUACUGGAGCGGCCGAUGUCAGAUUAGCUAGUUGGUGGGGUAAAGGCCUACCAAGGCAACGAUCUGUAGUUGGUCUGAGAGGACGACCAGCCACACUGGGACUGAGACACGGCCCAGACUCCUACGGGAGGCAGCAGUGGGGAAUUUUGGACAAUGGGCGCAAGCCUGAUCCAGCAAUGCCGCGUGCAGGAAGAAGGCCUUCGGGUUGUAAACUGCUUUUGUCAGGGAAGAAAUCUUCUGGGUUAAUACCUCGGGAGGAUGACGGUACCUGAAGAAUAAGCACCGGCUAACUACGUGCCAGCAGCCGCGGUAA